rnacentral:misc_RNA from 1 species
GAUGAAGAACGCAGCGAAAUGCGAUAAGUAAUGUGAAUUGCAGAAUUCAGUGAAUCAUCGAAUCUUUGAACGCACAUUGCGCCCGUCAGUAUUCUGGCGGGCAUGCCUGUUCGAGCGUCAUUACGCCCCUCAAGUCCCCUGUGGACUUGGUGUUGGGGAUCAGCGAGGCUGGUUUUCCAGCACAGCCGUCCCUUAAAUUAAUUGGCGGUCUCGCCGUGGCCCUCCUCUGCGCAGUAGUAAAACACUCGCAACAGGAGCCCGGCGCGGUCCACUGCCGUAAAACCCCCCAACUUUUUAUAGUUGACCUCGAAUCAGGUAGGACUACCCGCUGAACUUAAGCAUAUCAAUAAGCGGAGGA